rnacentral:lncRNA from 1 species
CACGGGCUGGGCACUUCCACCGCCACUUGUGAUAGAGAUUAUCAGCCCAUGAGGGCUACUGAAACCCAGAGGAAACACCUGCCUAGCCUGGGGACAGGCAAAGCUUCCUGGAGAAAGUGGUUUGAUCUGCGUGUUGUAGUAUGAGGAGCAGUUUUCAGGGAGAUGAAAGAGAAGAGCUUUGUAGGAAGAGGGAAGAAAGGAAGCCAUGUCCAGCAGGCGGUUGUUCCUCUGGCCUAGAGAACAGGAGUGAGGGCUGGGCUAGGGAGGCAGGGAGAGCUGAAGAGGAUGGUCACAAAUGGUAUUUACAGCUGGGACUGAAUGAGAUAAAAUAUUCAUAAGUGGAUGGCAGCAACUUCUUAUUCUAAUCCUCACACAGCCUGAGGAGGUGGGCAAAAUCUCCAUUUUGCACAAGAGGAAAUUAAAGGCCGGGCAUAGUGGCUCAUGCCUGUAAUCCCAGCACUUUGGGAGGCUGAGGCGGGAGGAUGGCUUGAGGCCAGGAGUUUGAGAUCAGCCUGGGCAAUACAGGGAGACCCCAUCUUUACAAAAAGUGAAAAAAAAAAUAGUCAGGUGAGGUGGCGCAUGCCUGUAUUCCCAGCUACUUGGGAGGCUGAGGUGGGAUAAUUGCUUGAGCUCAGGAAUUCGGGGCUGCAGUGAGCUAUGAUUGCACCUGUGCACUCCAACCUGGGUGACAAAGACCCUGUCUCUAAGAAAAAAAAAAAAGAAGCCUGGGCAACAUAGUGAGACCCCAUCUGUGCAAAAAAAUUGAACAGGCGUGGUGGCACGCACCUGUAGUCCCAGCUACUCAGGAGGCUGAUGUGGGAAGAGCACUUGAGCCCGGGAUGUCAAG